rnacentral:rRNA from 1 species
UGAACGCUAGCGGCAGGCUUAACACAUGCAAGUCGAGGGGUAGAGGCUUUCGGGCCUUGAGACCGGCGCACGGGUGCGUAACGCGUAUGCAAUCUGCCUUGUACAAAGGGAUAGCCAGAGAAAUUUGGAUUAAUACCUUAUAGUAUAUUGAUGUGGCAUCACAUUAUUAUUAAAGAUUUAUCGGUACAAGAUGAGCAUGCGUCCCAUUAGCUAGUUGGUGUGGUAACGGCAUACCAAGGCUAUGAUGGGUAGGGGUCCUGAGAGGGAGAUCCCCCACACUGGUACUGAGACACGGACCAGACUCCUACGGGAGGCAGCAGUGAGGAAUAUUGGACAAUGGGCGCAAGCCUGAUCCAGCCAUGCCGCGUGCAGGAUGAAGCAUCUAUGGUGUGUAAACUGCUUUUAUACGGGAAGAAACCCUGGCUCGUGAGCCAGAUUGACGGUACCGUAGGAAUAAGGAUCGGCUAACUCCGUG